GCUGAAGUUGUUUAACAUUUAUUGGCAAAUGUAUAUUUUAGUUGAAAUAUGAGGAAACAGCGUUAUGUAGCUGUAUUCACUCUGCUGAAAAUUAUUUUUAUUUGUUUGCAUUAAUUGCUUUAAUUUUAUUUAUAUUUCAGUGUCUUAAAUGUUAAUGUAUGCACAAUUAGUAAUGGUAAUCAAACACAACUGGACCAUAAUAAGAAUGUUCUACAUCAGUAGAGCGCAAUUAUGACGUGAAGAGUGCAGCAGGUACAUAUGAACAUUCUUUUCUAGAAUUCUCUGUUGGGAGAUUUGGAGAUUGUUGCGGUUGGUGUUUUUUGUGCGUUUGGCGAGUUUCUACAGUGAUUGAAUUUUUCGGCUAUUCAUUUUCGGUUUUUGACUUGUUUUCGGACUUUGACUAUCGGCUUUGGAUUCGCUUCGUAUUUUGACUCUCGGAUUUUGACUCCCUUCCGUUUUUGACGCGAGAUUUUGAUUCGGUUUGGAUUCCCGGCUUUGACCUUUUUCUUUUUUUGACUCACGGCUUCGGACAAUCAUCGGAUUGGUUGACAACUCGGCGACUGAAACCCCCCCGAUCCUUUCAUGGAAAUGGGAGCGGUUAGUGUUUUAUCAGUGUGUGUGGAAACACCAAGAGCUGUGUUCGGUGUUCCCCUCAUCAGCCUGAGGAAGAGUGGACAGAUGAGGCAGGGUCUUCCUCUGGUGCUCACACACAUAGUGGAGUUUGUGGAGAAGCACGGUCUCAGUAAGAGUGGCCUGUUCAGAGCCAGCGGGUCAGUGAAACGCUGCCGGGAACUGAGGAUAAGUUUUGAUCAAGGAGGAUUUCCAGAGUUUGACAGUGGGGAUAUUCUUACUCCGGCCUCCUUGUUGAAAGUUUUCCUCAGGGAAUUGCCUGGUGCACUUAUUCCAGAGUCACACAGGACACAACUGCUGAAUGUGUUCAAAGAUUCAAAAGAGAGAGAACUGAAUCAGGCUGUGAGGACGAUCCUGAACAGUCUCCCAGAGGAACAUUUUAAUGUCCUCUGCUACCUAAUGUUCUUCCUGUCCCGUGCGGCUGCUGAGAGUCAUCUAAAUCUUAUGACAUCUGGGAACUUGUCAAUAGUUUUUGGACCCAGCAUCUUUCACGUUCCUCUCAGCCCCACCAUGGUUGAGGAACAGGGGCAGUGUAACGCUUUGACUGAGCACCUGCUGGACAACCUGAUCCACCUUCUGCCAAACAUGUACCCUCAUGCACCCACCAGCAUCACAGCAGAGGAAAGGGACUGGGCUAAUGAAGAGUGUGUCCAACAGCUGCCACUAACAAAAAUAAGAUCAAAGCUGCCUAAAAUUGGACGACUUGGACGAUUGAGAAAACGAUUAAGAGGUUUUUGGAGAAAGUUGUGCUCAUGCACUUGCAGCAACGACACAGAGAGUGGAGAGGCCUCUGCCAGAGUGGAGACGCAGACAUAGGAGAGUAGAAGACAUUAUGGCUUGUGAGGAUUUCCACAAAACACUGGGGCCAGUGAGGUUCACUGCCAGGCAGUAGGGUCGGUGAGGAUCACCAGAAGACACUGGGGUCAGUGAGGGUCACCAGAAGACAGUGGGGUCGGUGAGGGUCACCGGAAGACACUGGGGUCGGUGAGGGUCACCACAAGACAAUGGAGCCAGUGAGGGUCAUCGGAAGACAAUGGGGUCGGUGAGGGUCACCACAAGACAAUGGGGCCAGUGAGGGUCACCAGAAGACACUGGGGCCAAAUGAGCGUUACCGCAAAACACAGAUGAGGGUUACCGAUGAGGGUCACUGCAAGAUAAAAGGGCUGGUGAGGGUCACUAGAUAACACUGAUAAGGGUCAACCGGAAGGCAAUGGGGUCAGUGAGGGUCACCACAAGACAAUGGGUUUGGUGAAGGUCACCACAAAAAACUUGGGUCGGUGAGGGUCACCGCAAGGCACUGGGCUCAGUGAGGGUCAACACAAAACACUGGGGCUGGCGAGGGUCACCGCAAGACAUUGGGGCCAAGUGAGGGUCACUGCAAAACACUGGGGCUGGCGAGGGUCACCGCAAGUCAUUGGGGCCAAGUGAGGGUCACCGUAAAACAUUGGGGCCGGUGAGGGUCACUGCAAAACACUGGGGCCGGUGAGGGCCAUUGCAAGACAUUGGGGCCAAGUAAGGGUCAUCGCAAAACAGUGGGGCUGGCGAGGGUCACUGCAAAACACUGGGGUUGGUGAGGGUCACUGUAAGACACUGAGGCAGGUGAGGGUCACCUGGAAGACACUAGGUCCGGUGAGCGUUACUAAAAGAUAAUGGGGCCAAGUGAGGGUCACUGCAAGACAAUGUUUCUGGCGAGGGUCACGGCAAGUUAGUGGGGUUGGUGAGGGUCACCCGGAAGACAUUGAGGCCAGUGAGGGUCACCCCAAGACAUCUGGGCCAAGUAAGGGUCUCCACAAAACAGCGGAGCUAGUGAGGGUCACUGCAAGAGAAUGUGGCUGGCGAGGGUCACAGCAAAACACUGGUGCUAAUGAGGGUCACCACAAAGACAUUGGGUCCGGUGAGAGUCACUGCAAGACAAUGGGAUCAGUGAGGGUCACUCGGAUGACAUUGGGGUCGUUGAGGUUCACCGCAAAACACUGGGAUCAGUGAGGGUCACUGGAAUGCACUGGAGAUGGUGAGAGAUGAUGGCAGGUUUGAUUAUGAAGACACAAGCAUGACAGAUGCUGAUGUUGUUGACACAAUUAAAAACUUCAAUCAGCU